rnacentral:rRNA from 1 species
UGGUCAUGCGUCGCAUUAGCUAGUUGGCGGGGUAACGGCCCACCAAGGCGACGAUGCGUAGGGGUUCUGAGAGGAAGGUCCCCCACACUGGUACUGAGACACGGACCAGACUCCUACGGGAGGCAGCAGUGAGGAAUAUUGGUCAAUGGCCGCAGGGCUGAACCAGCCAAGUCGCGUGAGGGAUGACGGUCCUAUGGAUUGUAAACCUCUUUUGUCAGGGAGCAAAGGGCGCCACGUGUGGCGCUUUGCGAGUACCUGAAGAAAAAGCAUCGGCUAACUCCGUGCCAGCAGCCGCGGUAAUACGGAGGAUGCGAGCGUUAUCCGGAUUUAUUGGGUUUAAAGGGUGCGCAGGCGGAAUGUCAAGUCAGCGGUAAAAUUUCGGGGCUCAACCCCGUCGUGCCGUUGAAACUGGCGUUCUUGAGUGAGCGAGAAGUAUGCGGAAUGCGUGGUGUAGCGGUGAAAUGCAUAGAUAUCACGCAGAACUCCGAUUGCGAAGGCAGCAUACCGGCGCUCAACUGACGCUCAUGCACGAAAGCGUGGGUAUCGAACAGGAUUAGAUACCCUGGUAGUCCACGCAGUAAACGAUGAAUACUAACUGUCCGGGCAGAAUGAUGCCUGG